UAAAAGGAGGUGAUCCAGCCACACCUUCCAGUACGGCUACCUUGUUACGACUUCACCCCAGUCACCAGACCUUCCUUAGAUACCUUUCUCUAAAAGUUAAAAUAGCAUCUUCGGGAGUGACCAGCUUCCAUGGUGUGACGGGCGGUGUGUACAAGGCCUGGGAACGAAUUCACCGCUGUAUGGCUGACCAGCGAUUACUAGCGAUUCCAACUUCAUGUAAACGAGUUGCAGUUUACAAUCCGAACUAAGACUAGGUUUUAGAGAUUAGCGUGCUUUCACAAGUUAGCAACUCUCUGUCCUAAUCAUUGUAGUACGUGUGUCGCCCAGAACAUAAGGGGCAUGCUGACUUGACGUCGUCCUCACCUUCCUCCGAUUUAUCAUCGGCAGUCUCUUUAGAGAAUCGAAAAACGUAACUAAAGACAAGGGUUGCGCUCGUUAUGGGACUUAACCCAACAUCUCACGACACGAGCUGACGACAGCCAUGCACCACCUGUAUUUAGGUUCCAAAAGGCACAUUUCUUUCUCAAGAAACUUCCUAAUAUGUCAAGUUCUGGUAAGGUUCUUCGCGUUGCAUCGAAUUAAACCACAUACUCCACCGCUUGUGCAGGCCCCCGUCAAUUCCUUUGAGUUUCACUCUUGCGGGCGUACUCCCCAGGCGGGACACUUAACGCGUUAGCUACAGCAAUGCAUAUUUUCAUUACGCACCACUUAGUGUCCAUCGUUUACAGCUAAGACUACCAGGGUAUCUAAUCCUGUUCGCUACCUUAGCUUUCGUCUCUGAGUGUCAGUUUCGGCCUAGUAAAGUGCUUUCGCCKUUGGUGUUCCUCCCAAUCUCUUCGCAUUUCACCGCUACACUGGGAAUUCCCUUUACCCCUACCGAACUCAAGCUUAGUAGUUUCCUAUGCCAUUUCGAAGUUAAGCUUCGAGAUUUAACACAGGACUUACUAUGCCACCUACAGACGCUUUACGCCCAAUAAUUCCGAAUAACACUUGCACCCCCCGUAUUACCGCGGCUGCUGGCACGGAGUUAGCCGGUGCUUAUUCCUCAAGUACCGUCAUUUUUUCUUCCUUGAGAAAAGAAGUUUACAACCCAAAAGCCUUCUUCCUCCACGCGGUAUUGCUCCGUCAGGCUUUCGCCCAUUGCGGAAAAUUCCCUACUGCUGCCUCCCGUAGGAGUCUGGGCCGUAUCUCAGUCCCAGUAUGACUGGUCGUCCUCUCAAACCAGUUACCGAUCGUUGCCUUGGUAAGCCAUUACCCCACCAACUAGCUAAUCAGACGCGAGCUUAUCCAUAGGCGAAAUUCUUUAACUUCUCAGCCUAUGGGGUAUUAGCAAUCAUUUCUAAUUGUUAUCCCCCACCUAAGGGCAAAUUCUCACGCGUUACUCAUCCGUUCGCCACUAUUCAARAAGAAUCGUUCGACUUGCAUGUAUAAAGCAUACCGCCAGCGUUCAUUCUGAGCCAGGAUCAAACUCUCCA
rnacentral:rRNA from 1 species